rnacentral:lncRNA from 1 species
UGCCUCAACUCUGAGCCAGCACUCUAGAGCCUGGAAGCUGCAACUACUGAAGCCCGUGCACCCAGGAGAAGCCGCAGCAAGUGAGGAGCAUGAGCACUGCAACUGGGCGUGGCCCUACUUGCUGAACUUGGGGAAAGGCCAAGCAGCAGCGAUCACUCACCCCUGCCAAAGAAAUGAAUACACCGAUGUAUUAAAAAUAACAGAUGCAUUUAAAAAAAAAAAAAAGAGGUUGGAUUCUGGAAGAAGCCACAGUAUAUGGCAUUACUUCCAAGUAGGAAGUUCUGUUUCUGAUCUGAACAUUAUCUCCAUUCUUGUGGCACAAGGAAGAAGACCCCUGGAUUGUGGAGAAUGAAGUGCUAAUAGCAAAAAUCCAGAUGAGUGGGAAUGCAUGGACCCUGCCCAGAGGACCUUGUACCAGGACGUGAUGGUGGAGACCCUCAGGAACCAGCUGUCUGUGGAGCUGGAUUCUACACCUGCCAAUGCAGGAGACACGGGUUGGAUCCUUGGUCUUGGAAGAUCCCACACGUCACAGAGCAGCUACGCCUCUGUGCCUCAACUACGAGCCAGCACUCUAGAGCCUGGAAGCUGCAACUACUGAAGCCCGUGCACCCAGGAGAAGCCGCAGCAAGGGAGGAGCAUGAGCACUGCAACUGGAGCGUAGCCCCUACUUGCUGAACUUGGGGAAAAGGCCAAGCAGCAACGAACACUCACCUGAGCCAAAAGAAAUGAAUACACCAAUGUGUUAAAAAUAACAGAUGCAUUUAUUAAAAAAGAGAGAGAGGGAGAGAGGUUGGAUUCUGGAAGAAGCCACAGUAUAUAGCAUUACUUCUGAGUAGGAAUUUCUCUUUCUGAUCUGAAUGUUAUCUCCAUUCUUGUGGCACAAGGAAGAAGACCCCUGGAUUGUGGAGAAUGAAGUGCUAAUAGCAAAAAUCCAGAUGAGUGGGAAAGUAUCUACAGUGUGAUCACAGGUCAACUGUUACAAGGACAGAGAGGAAGCCACACCGCUCAUGGGGUUUGGGUGGGAGAGUUCUGUGAGAAAACAGAUGUUUAAUGUUUGUGAACUCUUACAGGAGAUUUUUCUUCUCCAUAACUUAGGGCUCUGUUCUUCGACAUGUGAAAUGUACAGCACCCUCGAGUGGUGCUGUAGCACCCAUGGAGAUGAAGGCAAGAUCUUUUUUUUAGGCUUGUACUGGGUCUUUUUUGCUGUGUGGACUUUUGUCUAUUUGAGAAGAGUGAGGGCUAUUCUCUAGUUGCGGGGAGCACGGUUUCUCAUUGUGGUGGCUUCUUUUGUUGUGAAGCCCGGGCCCUAGGCACACGGGUUUGAGUAGUUCUACCAUACAAGCUCAGUAUCUGUGGCUCAUCAACUUCUUCUCCGUUGCCGGGAGCCGGCAUAUUGCAUAUUGAGUGCAGCACUUUCCACAGCAUCAUCUUUCAGGAUCUGGAAUAGCUCAACUGGAAUUCUAUCACUGCCGGCAGCCAGCGUGAGGAGCUCCGCCCAUGACAAAGGUCAUGAGGAAGGAGGCUCGGCAUACGCAAAGGCGGGAUCGAGCUUCAGGAGUCCCUCUGGAAAUUCUCGAGCAUAUACCCCCAAAACCAGAGUCUGCCUACUUUCUGCUUUGAGCUUUCACCUACACGUCUGACUUUACGGGGGGCUGUCCCCCACUACCUCUCUGAAAAAAGAGUUAGCUUACAGCUCCAGUUAAUAAUUCCUGGGUGUGACAGUGUUUAACCUACAAACUCCUUUGGAAAUCCUCUAGCCUGCCUGAAUAGGUUUUUCUGGCCACAUGUGAUUGUUCAGAGCCUCCCAACUGUGAGAGGCAGGAGAUGUUCUAAACUGUCUAAACACAGAUUCUUUUGAGUAGUUAAAAGAUUGAUUAGAAAUUGUAUUGGUGAAGGGAUUUUCACUUGUUGGGCCAAUGUUUGCUGCUAAGUUUCCAUAUCCCUUACCUGCUGUGUCCCUGGCAGUGUAUUGAUUAAUAUAAUUGGUGUAAGUAGUAGCUUUAAUGUUUGUAACCUGGGACCCUUGAGUUAAUUCUUUUCUUGUUAUAGCCCACCACACCUUUGCGCUGUAGGAAUGCAACUUUAUCUAAUGCUUUUGGAGGGUGGCUCCUGACCAAUCACCUUUAGAGAAAAAUAAGUUUUCUGAAGAAAAGGUCUUAAA